rnacentral:rRNA from 1 species
ACUCCUACGGGAGGCAGCAGUGGGGAAUAUUGCACAAUGGGGGAAACCCUGAUGCAGCCAUGCCGCGUGUGUGAAGAAGGCCUUCGGGUUGUAAAGACACUUUCAGUAGGGAGGAAGGUAGUGUAGUUAACACCUGCAUUAUUUGACGUUACCUACAGAAGAAGCACCGGCUAAACUCCGUGCCAGCAGCCGCGGUAAUACGGAGGGUGCGAGCGUUAAUCGGAAUUACUGGGCGUAAAGCGCAUGCAGGUGGUUUGUUAAGUCAGAUGUGAAAGCCCGGGGCUCAACCUCGGAAUAGCAUUUGAAACUGGCAGGCUAGAGUCUUGUAGAGGGGGUAGAAUUCAGGUGUAGCGGUGAAAUGCGUAGAGAUCUAGAAGGAAUACCGGUGGCGAAGGCGGCCCCCUGGACAGAUACUGACACUCAGAUGCGAAAAGCGUGGGGAGC